GGGCGCUUAGCUCAGCGGGAGAGCACUUCCUUGACAUGGAAGGGGUCGCAGGUUCAAUCCCUGCAGCGCCCACCA
rnacentral:tRNA from 1 species